rnacentral:rRNA from 1 species
UACGGGGGGGCAAGCGUUGUUCGGAAUUACUGGGCGUAAAGGGCUCGUAGGUGGCCAACUAAGUCAGACGUGAAAUCCCUCGGCUUAACCGGGGAACUGCGUCUGAUACUGGAUGGCUUGAGGUUGGGAGAGGGAUGCGGAAUUCCAGGUGUAGCGGUGAAAUGCGUAGAUAUCUGGAGGAACACCGGUGGCGAAGGCGGCUA